CAAUCUGUGCUUUAGGUGCCUUAAUUUACUGUCUGUGUAGUGAUAACUGUCUCACCUACAGCUGCGGUCUCCAGCAUUAGUGUGACAAUGCAGAAGAGGUUGACAUUGGCAUUGUACACAGUGAACUCAACAAAGACUGCUCGGGUGAACAUGUCAAGCCAGGUGCUGUCAAACAGGUACUGAAGGGUACUAUAAGGACAGAAAACAUGCAGCGUUCUGUGAGUCAGGGCCCAGUUUCAUCACGAAGCCCCCUCUGUAAAGAACCACGCUGCCCCAGAUGGGCUGGGCUCUGAGGCUGGCCUGGGUUUGGUACAGCCAGGGGCUACGGAGUGUCUUUGAGGUGUUCACUAUUGCCAACUAGCAACAAGUACCGGAUAAUAAGAUAUAUUGGUUUUGAGUACUAGAGAAUCUUACCUGGGUAAACUCCAAAGAGGUUGCGGAGAAGAGAAGUAUUUGCCCAGGAGAAAACACAUCUCUGUGGGUCAUGCUGUCUGAGAUUCCUUGGCUGAAGCUCUGCUGAAUGUGCUUAUUCAGGAAGAAAGCGUUUGUGUCCCACUGACCGUAUGCCCCCAGCAACACCAUCCACAUGAACCCCAUGUAGGCUGCAACAGAAGCACAGACCUUAAACGUCCAUGUUAAGAAAAAAGUGUGGUGAAUGACAGUCUAGCUAAUCAGCUCAAACAGAUCUUCUUACUGAGAAUCUCUUUGAUAAGGGCAAAUACUUUCUGCUCCUUAAUCAUGUUGUUUUUCAUCCUCUCAAUGUCUGAGGGAGGAGGGGGCUGAUAGAAGCUACAUGUGCUAUCACUCCUGGCAGCCUGCACUGCAUCAGGGUCUCCUUUUUACAAUUAUAAAGAGAAUGUAAAAGUACAUAUAAUUUCUUAAACUCUGAGUAAUAAAAACAGAACAGAAAAUGUGUAUUAAAAUAAUACACCUGUGGUUCUGAAUGCCUCCUUGAUUUCUGAAACUCCAUAUUCCUCCUGAUUAACUUUCUUCAUAACGAGAGCAAAGAAGGCCGCAAAGCCUAGCACCUGUUACAAGAAAUCCCAAAACCAAUACCCAGUUUCCAGAUACAUUACUUUUUUAUAUUGUACAGCAUAUUAUAGAGGGUCAGGGUGAAAGACAUUACAAAUUAUAUAUCGAAGUAGAAAUGUUGGUGUAGAAUUGAAACUGUACAGCUUCUACGGUAGAACCGUAUCAAUCUCACAUUUAGUGGCUGAGUGAGGAAGAGAC
rnacentral:lncRNA from 1 species